rnacentral:lncRNA from 1 species
ACAUCCUCGAGUUCCAACUCUUCUGGCAAAACCCAAGAUGCAACCAAUUAUAGAAAAAUCAUAUUCGAAAACAAAAAAAAAAAAAUGGAAUUUGUGAGCAAGAGACAGUACUUCAACAAGAGGAAUGGGAAUAUCGUUCGGAAGAUAUUUCAAAUACUAUUUUCUGGACAAAGGGAUUUCCGACAGUGCUUAAGAAGAAGAAGAAAUGUAGGUUUGCUCACCAUCUUUGGCUUUGGAGGAAGAAGAAACUUCCAUUUCACUUAGGCUUGUGGUUAUGCGAAUCCAAUCUCUGAAAAAGGAAUGACUUGAUGAG